GAAAUUCUGCUUUAACAGAAUAAAUUGAUCCAACUUAGAAAUAUAGAUUGUCAAAUCUUACAUACAGCCUUUCUCCCUAGGUUAGAAGUUGCAUUCCUUUGCUAAUUACUUUAGCUACAAAAAUCAACAUAGCCGGUACAGUCAGUGGAGCCCCUUAGUCUGACAAACUAAUUUACACAUGGCUAUCAGCAAGAUAGCAUCUCUCAGUAUUUUUGUAACAGCAGUAAACAACCCAAAUGUCUGACACCCCUUCCUUGCUUCCCUGGCUUCUCAGGAACUAAUUGACCCUGCUGUUGGUACAGGGGGGUAUCAUAAACAAGGUGAUAGCCACCAGAGCUAAAGGCAAUCAGGAUGCAAACGGAUGACUAGCUUUGCAUUUCCAAUUUACUUUUGUUUUGGGAACAUCCUGGAAUGUUUGGGAACUUCUACAAAUGCUUGACGGGUGAUAAUUUGUUGCCAUUCUAAACCUUUUUGAAAUGUAUAUGACUCUGCUUUGAUGUAACCCCAAGAAGACCCUUUAAAACCUUGGACCUUUCAGCAGUUCGGGGCAGCUCUCCUCACUGGUGAGACCUGUGCUGGCUUAGAAAUAAAACUUUGCUUUAUUCUC